AGCUUGGGUGCAUUGUUUGUCUCACUCUCUCGUCCACUCUCCCUCUCCUUCACCAAAUGCUUUCUCAGUGAUUAGUUACUGAGUAGAAGGGGCUCCAGUUACCAUGCCGCCUGCCAUCUCCCCUCCUUUUAUUGGAACUAAUAUCCCACCUGCGAUGAUAAGCAUAUUUGGGGAGAUAAAGGCUGACUUGAGAGACAUCAGAACACAGUUUUUAGAAGAGAACUUGACUGCAGUCAAUGUAAAGUGGAAAGAGAACCAUCAUGUCUCCAAGACAGAUGUUACCUGGUGGAUCUCACCAAGCUUUGAGUUUAUGUUUGCACAUAUGAAUAAACAAAACCA